GUGGGGAAUAUUGGACAAUGGGCGAAAGCCUGAUCCAGCCAUGCCGCGUGUGUGAAGAAGGUCUUCGGAUUGUAAAGCACUUUAAGUUGGGAGGAAGGGCAGUAAGUUAAUACCUUGCUGUUUUGACGUUACCGACAGAAUAAGCACCGGCUAACUUCGUGCCAGCAGCCGCGGUAAUACGAAGGGUGCAAGCGUUAAUCGGAAUUACUGGGCGUAAAGCGCGCGUAGGUGGUUUUGUAAGUUGGAGGUGAAAUCCCCGGGCUCAAGCUGGGAACUGCCUGCAAAAGUGCAUGAAUAGAGUACGGUAGAGAGUAGUGGAAUUUCCUGUGUAGCGGUGAAAUGCGUAGAUAUAGGAAGGAACACCAGUGGCGAAGGCGACUACCUGGACUGAUACUGACACUGAGGUGCGAAAGCGUGGGGAGCAAACAGGAUUAGAAACCCGGGUAGUCC
rnacentral:rRNA from 1 species